rnacentral:SRP_RNA from 1 species
GCCAGGCUCCGUGGCGCCUACCUGCAGUCCCAGCUACUCAGGAGGCUGAGGUGGGAGGACUGUUUGAUCCCCAGAGUCCUGGGCUGUAAUGCGCUAUGCCGAUCAGUAUCUACACUAAGCUCGGCAUCAAUAUGGUGACCUCCCAGGAGCGGGAGACCACCAGGUUACCUAAGGAGGGGUGAACCGGGCCAGGUCAGAAACAGAGCAGGUCAAAACUCCAGUGAUGAUCAGUAGUGAUAUCACGCCUGUGAAUAGCCACUGCACUCCAGCCUGGGCAACAUAGCGAGACCCCAUCUCA